GAUGAACGCUGGCGGCGUGCUUAACACAUGCAAGUCGAACGGUGAAGCUCCAGCUUGCUGGAGUGGAUCAGUGGCGAACGGGUGAGUAACACGUGAGCAACCUGCCCCUGACUCUGGCAUAACAGCCGGAAACGGCUGCUAAUACCGGAUAUGCACCAUGAACGCAUGUUCUGUGGUGGGAAAGAUUUUUCGGUUGGGGAUGGGCUCGCGGCCUAUCAGCUUGUUGGUGAGGUAAUGGCUCACCAAGGCGUCGACGGGUAGCCGGCCUGAGAGGGUGACCGGCCACACUGGGACUGAGACACGGCCCAGACUCCUACGGGAGGCAGCAGUGGGGAAUAUUGCACAAUGGGCGAAAGCCUGAUGCAGCAACGCCGCGUGAGGGAUGACGGCCUUCGGGUUGUAAACCUCUUUUAGCAGGGAAGAAGCGAGAGUGACGGUACCUGCAGAAAAAGCGCCGGCUAACUACGUG
rnacentral:rRNA from 1 species